GACGAACGCUGGCGGCGUGCUUAACACAUGCAAGUCGAACGAUGAAGCCCAGCUUGCUGGGUGGAUUAGUGGCGAACGGGUGAGUAACACGUGGGCAACCUGCCCCAAACUCUGGGAUAACUCCUCGAAAGAGGUGCUAAUACCGGAUACGAACUAGACAGACAUCUGUACUAGUUGGAAAGUUUUUCGGUUUGGGAUGGGCCCGCGGCCUAUCAGCUUGUUGGUGAGGUAACGGCUCACCAAGGCUACGACGGGUAACCGGCCUGAGAGGGCGACCGGUCACACUGGGACUGAGACACGGCCCAGACCCCUACGGGAGGCAGCAGUGGGGAAUAUUGCGCAAUGGGCGAAAGCCUGACGCAGCGACGCCGCGUGAGGGAUGAAGGUCUUCGGAUCGUAAACCUUUUUCAGUAGGGACGAAGCGAAAGUGACGGUACCUAAAGAAGAAGCACCGGCUAACUACGUGCCAGCCGCCGCCGUAA
rnacentral:rRNA from 1 species